rnacentral:rRNA from 1 species
UACGAAGGGGACUAGCGUUGUUCGGAAUUACUGGGCGUAAAGCGCACGUAGUCGGCUUUGCAAGUCGGGUGUGAAAUCCCCCGGGCUCAACCUGGGAACUGCAUCCGAGACUGCAUUGCUAGAGUAUGGGAGAGGGAAGCGGAAUUUCUGGUGUAGCAGUGAAAUGCGUAGAUAUCAGAAGGAACAUCAGUGGCGAAGGCGGGCUUCCCUGACCAAAUACUGACGAUCAGGUGUGAAACGUGGGGGAGCAAACAGG